rnacentral:rRNA from 1 species
GGAUCAAGGUGCUGGUCAUGCCUUUGGUAUGUACUGACAUCAUUGAUUUCUCCCUUCUGGCGAACCAUGAUGUCAUUAAUUUGGUGUCAUGGGGAAUCAGGACUGUUACUUUGAAAAAAUUAGAGUGUUUAAAGCAGGCUAACGCUUGAAUAUAUUAGCAUGGAAUAAUAAAAUAGGACGUAACGAUCCUAUUUUGUUGGUUUCUAGGAUUGACGUA